GAUGAACGCUGGCGGCGUGCUUAACACAUGCAAGUCGAGCGAAGCAGUUAAGUUGAUUUCUUCGGAUUGAUUCUUAACUGACUGAGCGGCGGACGGGUGAGUAACGCGUGGGUGACCUGCCCCAUACCGGGGGAUAACAGCUGGAAACGGCUGCUAAUACCGCAUAAGCGCACAGAGCUGCAUGGCUCGGUGUGAAAAACUCCGGUGGUAUGGGAUGGGCCCGCGUCUGAUUAGGCAGUUGGCGGGGUAACGGCCCACCAAACCGACGAUCAGUAGCCGGCCUGAGAGGGCGACCGGCCACAUUGGGACUGAGACACGGCCCAAACUCCUACGGGAGGCAGCAGUGGGGAAUAUUGCACAAUGGGGGAAACCCUGAUGCAGCGACGCCGCGUGAGCGAAGAAGUAUUUCGGUAUGUAAAGCUCUAUCAGCAGGGAAGAUAAUGACG
rnacentral:rRNA from 1 species